CAGGAGGGCUGGGCGUCAGAGCAGUCGGGCGGAGACGGGCCCGGAGCAGCCCUCCAUACAAGGCAGAAAGGAACUCCCAAAGUCGGCGUCGGCUUGCUCCCGCCGCCCGGCGUGAGGCGGGGGAGCGGACCCAGCCCUGCGGGGCUCCCGGGGGACAGCCAGCCGCCCAGCGGGCAUCCACAGGCUGGAGAGCUCCAGCCGAGUACUUGGCUUGCGUCUUCGGGGGUUAUUUUUGCACAGGCAGGAACGUUCCCCCGGCCCUUCUCCAAGGCGCAGAAUCCACUGCCUGCCUAGGAAUCGUGGAGAAGUGAUUUGACAACAAAUGCAGGAGGGGGUUGUAUUUGCAUUUUAAAGCACCGCUUUCGACUCUACCAGGUGGCACUAUUUAUUUGCCCCGGAGUGCCAGAGGCUAGAGCCUCUGGCAUGGCUGAAUGAGAGUCGUGCCAGCGGCCCCACGCCCAAGUAGGGCUCACCUGGCGAGGACCAAGCCUCAGGGCCCGGGCUGAGGACUGUCAGAGGAGGACCUGACGCUGUAAAAGCUUUCCAGACCUGCCGUUCGGUAGGACGGAGUGGGGAAGGAACGAAUUCUCCUUCCCGGGAGGACAGUGCUGCCAAGGGCUUUUUAACAUCCUAGUGAGACUACCUCCAAAAGGUUCAAAACGCCCUGCUUUGGCCCCUGGGCUGCCUUGCCUUGACAGGGCUGCUGCAGGAGUGAGUUCCCUUGGUCAGUGUGAAAGAAGAAAAGGGUAGGCAGCAGGAACAGGUGGCAGUUUGCGAAAUGGCCUUGAAAGGCAGAGGAGGGAUGAAAGGUGGGGGGGGGGGGGGGGAGGUGGAUGAGCUAAGGAGCAGCCAUAUCAGACCAGUUUCACCUCCACCCCUAGGAAAAGCAAUGGUGAGGCGAGCUCAGCCCUUCUAAAAAGAGCAGAAGGGUCUUGAAUUAGGCCUCUCCCUAGGGCACAGGCCUUCUUCCAGAAGGAAAUGGUGUGCCAGUGGUGGAAAGGUUUCCUUGAAAAUCUUAAAUUCUUAAACUCCCUAUGGUAAUGUAUUGGAGCACUUUUGGCAGGAAGUGAAAAGAAUACCAUUCCUGAUGGGAAAAAAUGACCAUCCUGCAUAUGGGUAAAACCUGUAAUUAUGGGAUGGCAGUAAGAUUUUUUAAUUAGCUCCUUUUUUAGUUUCACCAGGACCUUGUGAAAAAAAAAGACCCUUAUUAAUUCAGAAUUGAUUUUCCAGCUUUCUGAGGGCAGCCUCCCCCAAACAGAGAAGACUCAUAGUACUUACUAGCCAAAAUGUUAAAGUGUAUGUGAUUUCAUGAUUCUUGACCCGGUGAUGUUUUCUUCUCCCUUCCUCCUCCUUUUUUGUGCCUUAUUUGUUUUCUUUAUAUGCUCUACAUCUCUAGCUUGCACUCUGUUUCUUUCUUCCUAUUCUGAGUGGCCUCACAAAAGGCCCCCCACAGAGACUUAACUUGGUUUGUUUUUUGCUAAGCAUAAAGAGUGUGGCCACAGGAGCUGGCAAAUGAGAAAUGAAGUGGAUGUAAUGGGAUUGAGAACUAGAGCUUGGGAAGGAUAUUUUAUGUAACUGAAGAUGGCCUUCCAGUCCAAAUUUAGAUAACCAAAUAGUCAAGCCCAUCAUUUUUUGCUUCAAUUUUUAAUGAUUCAAAAGCAGAUUUUCUUUCGCAGCAUGGGGAUUACGAAUAGCAGAAUUAGAUGCCCAUUACUGUCUAUGUGAUAUGUUGGUAUCAUAAUAGCCUCCCUACAUAAAAAUAUUGUAUUAUAUUCUGUCAAUUAUUUCAGUAAUGACUUCAGACUUCCUACUAAGAAAGUACACCGUUUCCAAUUUAUAUCUCUAAGAGGAAGAGCUUAAAGAGCAAAAGGAAUGUAAUAAACUUCGAGAAGUUCCUUCAAUUUUACUCUAAGGUGACCCAUUCUGUAAGAAUAUGAUCCUGUCCGAAUGUUCACAGCCGGCUAAAAGAAGAGUUGAUUUCAUCAAUUUGCCAAACUGGGUGAAGAUAGCCCAAAGUAAAACAGCAAACUGAGUCUUAAGUUUCAACCUAAACAAUUAUUAUCUGGAUGUUACUGCAAGUUGUUCUGUUACCCGCUGAUCAAUCUAUUUUUGCCAAGAUAACAUUCAUUUUUGUGGAUAGAAUUUAUAGUGACAGGACACUUGCAGAGUAAAUGUCAGUAAAUUACACAAAUGCAUAUAACUCUAAAAUAUCAUCUGGAUAACUUCAAAAUGUAAAUUUUUAUUUUUGUAAUAUCCUAAUAACAUUUACAAAUCCAGCUUCCAUUAGUAGGAAUUUAACUUCCUUUAAUUAUGUCACUCACAGUGUUCGUAGUCAUUAUUUAUAAUAAGAACAUGCAUGAAAAUAUUUUGGUUGGGAGAGCUGUGUAGACUUAAUCAUCUUUGUCUCUUUACUAAUACCUGAAAUUCCUUAUACUCAAGACCUGCUAUUUUUAACAGUAGAGUGUUAUGAGAUUUUCUAUGUAUUGGAUUGAUUAUGCAAUUGUUUUAAACUGCA